rnacentral:misc_RNA from 1 species
GUAGGUGAACCUGCGGAAGGAUCAUUACCGAAGUCAAGGCCCCUUCGGGGGCUAAACUUCCACCCUUUGUUUACCUUACCAUUGUUGCUUUGGCGGGCCGCCUUAGGCCACCGGCUCUCGAGCUGGUGCGUGCCCGCCAGAGACCCCCCAAACCCAAACCAUAUUUAGUGUCGUCUGAAAACAAGUUUAAAUUAUUAAAACUUUCAACAACGGAUCUCUUGGCUCUG